GAAAAUGUAUUUUCCAGCUUGCACUCUGGCAUCACUGUUGUACCUGCGCCUCUGUCCCAUAGUGAUGAUGCAAAGGUCUCUCUUGAAGAUGUCUUUUCCAGCUGUCGCUCUCGCAACACUGCUGUAUCGGCGCCUCUGUCCCAUAGUGGUGAUGCACAGGUGUCUCUUGAAAAUGUUUUUUCCAGCUCGCACUCUAGUAUCACAGUUGUACCUGUGCCUCUGUCUCAUAGUGGCGAUGACAAGGUCUCUCUAGAAAAUGUGUUCUCUAGCUCUCACUCUGGCAUCACUGCUGUACCUGCGCCUCUGUCCCAUAGUGGCGAUGCAGAGGGAUCUCUUGAAAAUGCCUUUUCCAGCUCGCACUCUAGCAUCACUGUUGCACCUGCGCCUCUGUCCCCUAGUGGCGAUGCAAAGGUCUCUCUUGAAAAUGUCUUUUCCAGCUCUCACUCUGCCGUCACUGCUGUACCUGCGCCUCUGUCCCAUAGUGGCGCUGCACAGGUCACUCUUGAAAAUGCCAUUUCCAGCUCAGACUCUGGCAUCACUGUUAUACCUGCACCUCUGUCCCAUAGUGGUGUUGCACAGGUCCCUCAUGAAAAUGGUGUUUCCAUCUCGCACUCUAGCAUCACUGUUGUACCUGCGCCUCUGUCCCAUAGCGGCAAUGCACAGGGAUCUCUUGAAAAUGUCUCCAGCUCACUCUCUGGCGUCACUGUUGAUUUUCAACGGAAACUGACUUG
rnacentral:lncRNA from 1 species